rnacentral:tRNA from 1 species
GCCUCAGUAGCACAGUGGUUAGUGCACAGCCCCGGAAUGGUUGUAACGCGGGUUCGAAUCCCGCCUAAGAUA